rnacentral:misc_RNA from 1 species
GAUGAAGAACGUAGCGAAAUGCGAUAAGUAAUGUGAAUUGCAGAAUUCAGUGAAUCAUCGAAUCUUUGAACGCAUCUUGCGCUCCUUGGUAUUCUGAGGAGCAUGCCUGUUUGAGUGUCAUUAAAUUCUCAACUACACUGACUUUGAAUUGGUGUGGCUUGGAUUUGGGGGGAAAAUUGUUGUGGGCUUUUUGUAUAGUCUGCUCCCCUGAAAUUGUUUAGCGGUACCUUUGUGGAACUGUCUACAGGUGUGAUAAUCAUCUACAUCUUAGACAUCUGCUGGAAUGCUGCUUUCUAAACCUUACUUGUAUUGACAAUCUUGACCUCAAAUCAGGUAGGACUACCCGCUGAACUUAAGCAUAUCAAUAAGCGGAGGA